UACGGGGGGGGCAAGCGUUGUUCGGAAUUACUGGGCGUAAAGGGCUCGUAGGUGGCCAACUAAGUCAGACGUGAAAUCCCUCGGCUUAACCGGGGAACUGCGUCUGAUACUGGAUGGCUUGAGUUUGGGCGAGGGACGCGGAAUUCCAGGUGUAGCGGUGAAAUGCGUAGAUAUCACGCAGAACACCGAUUGCGAAGGCAGGUGACUGGGGCGCGACUGACGCUGAGGCACGAAAGUGUGGGGAGCGAACAGG
rnacentral:rRNA from 1 species